rnacentral:rRNA from 1 species
GUGAACGCUGGCGAUAGGCCUAACACAUGCAAGUCGAACGGCAGCACAGUAAGAGCUUGCUCUUACGGGUGGCGAGUGGCGGACGGGUGAGGAAUACAUCGGAAUCUACUUUUUCGUGGGGGAUAACGUAGGGAAACUUACGCUAAUACCGCAUACGACCUACGGGUGAAAGCAGGGGAUCUUCGGACCUUGCGCGAUUGAAUGAGCCGAUGUCGGAUUAGCUAGUUGGCGGGGUAAAGGCCCACCAAGGCGACGAUCCGUAGCUGGUCUGAGAGGAUGAUCAGCCACACUGGAACUGAGACACGGUCCAGACUCCUACGGGAGGCAGCAGUGGGGAAUAUUGGACAAUGGGCGCAAGCCUGAUCCAGCCAUACCGCGUGGGUGAAGAAGGCCUUCGGGUUGUAAAGCCCUUUUGUUGGGAAAGAAAAGCAGCAGGUUAAUACCCCGCUGUUCUGACGGUACCCAAAGAAUAAGCACCGGCUAACUUCGU